UACAGAGGAGGCAAGCGUUGUCCGGAAUCAUUGGGCGUAAAGCGCGCGUAGGUGGCCCAGUAAGUCCGCUCUGAAAGUCAAAGGCUCAACCUUUGAAAGCGGGUGGAUACUGCUGGGCUAGAGUCCGGAAGAGGCGAGUGGAAUUCCUGGUGUAGCGGUGGAAUGCGCAGAUAUCAGGAGGAACACCAACGGCGAAGGCAGCUCGCUGGGACGGUACUGACACUAAGGCGCGAAAGCGUGGGGAGCGAACAGG
rnacentral:rRNA from 1 species